GCCUGUGAAGGUGUGCUGUGAGGCAUGCUGGAGGUAUCAGAAGUGCGAAUGCUGACAUAAGUAACGAUAAAGCGGGUGAAAAGCCCGCUCGCCGGAAGACCAAGGGUUCCUGUCCAACGUUAAUCGGGGCAGGGUGAGUCGACCCCUAAGGCGAGGCCGAAAGGCGUAGUCGAUGGGAAACAGGUUAAUAUUCCUGUACUUGGUGUUACUGCGAAGGGGGGACGGAGAAGGCUAUGUUGGCCGGGCGACGGUUGUCCCGGUUUAAGCGUGUAGGCUGGUUUUCCAGGCAAAUCCGGAAAAUCAAGGCUGAGGCGUGAUGACGAGGCACUACGGUGCUGAAGCAACA
rnacentral:rRNA from 1 species